UACAGAGGUCCCGAGCGUUGUUCGGAUUCAUUGGGCGUAAAGGGUGCGUAGGCGGCGGGGCAAGUCUGAUGUGAAAUCCCGGGGCUCAACCCCGGAACUGCAUUGGAUACUGCCUUGCUAGAGUACUGGAGAGGGAACUGGAAUUUACGGUGUAGCAGUGAAAUGCGUAGAGAUCGUAAGGAAGGCCAGUGGCGAAGGCGGGUCUCUGGACAGUUCCUGACACUGAGGCACGAAGGCCAGGGGAGCAAACGGG
rnacentral:rRNA from 1 species